rnacentral:rRNA from 1 species
GACGAAGGAUCCAAGCGUUAUCCGGAUUUAUUGGGUUUAAAGGGUGCGUAGGCGGACUCGUAAGUCAGUGGUGAAAGCCCGAUGCUUAACAUCGGAACUGCCAUUGAUACUGCAAGUCUUGAAUAUGUUUGAAGUGGGCGGAAUGUGUCGUGUAGCGGUGAAAUGCUUAGAUAUGACACAGAACACCGAUUGCGAAGGCAGCUCACUAAACCAUUAUUGACGCUGAGGCACGAAAGCGUGGGGAGCAAACAGG